rnacentral:misc_RNA from 1 species
UUGAAUAAAAUUGGUUGGGCUGUUGCUGAUCCUCCAGGAUAUGUGCACGCCUAGCACCAACUUUUACCACCUGUGCACCUCCUGUAGGCUCUGGAAUAUAUCUCGAGGUUAGCCUCGGUUUUAGGGUUUGCUGUGCUUCUAUGUCAGCUGCCCUUGUAAUUCUGGUCUAUGUACUUUUUAUAUACACCGCAUGCCACAGAAUGUUAUUGACAGGCUUUGUUGCCUUUAAAUCUAAUA